rnacentral:tRNA from 1 species
UGGGGUGUGGCUCAGUAGUAGAGUGCUUGCCUAGCCAGUGUGAGGCAUUGGGUUUGAUCCUCAGCACCACAU